UACGUAGGGUGCAAGCGUUGUCCGGAAUUAUUGGGCGUAAAGAGCUCGUAGGCGGCCUGUCGCGUCUGCUGUGAAAACUCAGGGCUUAACCCUGAGCUUGCAGUGGGUACGGGCAGACUAGAGUGCGGUAGGGGAGACUGGAAUUCCUGGUGUAGCGGUGAAAUGCGCAGAUAUCAGGAGGAACACCGGUGGCGAAGGCGGGUCUCUGGGCCGUAACUGACGC
rnacentral:rRNA from 1 species